UCAUAAGUACAGGGGUGCUGGAAUUGGCCGGCUGAGAGUGUGUCCCACAAGACACUGACCCUUAUACCUGAUCUGGAUAAUGCCAGCGUAGGAACUAGCCGAUAUGGUUCA
rnacentral:ncRNA from 2 species